UACGUAGGGUGCAAGCGUUGUUCGGAAUCACUGGGCGUAAAGGGAGCGUAGGCGGAGGUGUAAGUUAGGAGUUAAAGACACGGGCUUAACCCGUGGCCUGCUUUUAAUACUGCAUUUCUUGAGUAUGGGAGAGGGCGAUGGAAUUCCAGGUGUAGCGGUGGAAUGCGUAGAUAUCUGGAAGAACACCAGUUGCGAAGGCGGUCGCCUGGCCCAAUACUGACGCUGAGGCUCGAAAGCUAGGGGAGCGAACAGG
rnacentral:rRNA from 1 species